CAAUGGGAAGAUGUUACAGAAAGGAAGGUAAAUAAACAGCGGUGUCAGAAUCAGCCCAGCAGGGGCUCCUGGUAUCUCUGACCCUGGUUCCAACAUCUACAAAAUCCUUCCUUCCAAGAUGGACUUUCACGUCUUCAGAACACAGCCACAUUAAACAGAUUAGGAAGCAACCACUUCAACCUUCUCCUUCCCUAUGAGUUCAUCAUUGCUUUUGAUUUCUUAACUGUGCAGGCUUGCUUUUAUGGUGACAGUGGGGUUCCAAGAGAGUGAGAAGAGAGCAAGAGUGAGAAGAAAGCAAGAGUUCUUCAGGCUUAACUUUGGGACUUGCAGCUAUCAUUUCCACUGAUUCUACUGGCCAAACCAACUCACUAAGCCACUCUGCUUUGUGAUGCAAGGAACUGCAAUGUCACAUUGCAAGGGAU